rnacentral:lncRNA from 1 species
AAAACAUCAAGCUAAUCACUACUAAUUUUAAGAAAUUUAGGCAGAGUUUCCUUUAAAAAUAGAUAUACAGAAAAAUCUAAACCUGUUUACAAAACUUACAAUCAUCCAUACAUAUCCAAACCACCAAAAAAACCAUUCGAGGCAUACCCAAAAUCAUCAUAACCAAGUAUAAUUAGCUAACUUUACAAAAGGCAGAAUACAAAAAAUACAUACAUGCAGAAAAUAGAGAAACUAAGACCCUUUACUUUACAGCUUACACCAAGUAUAUUCUUUACAGAUUACAUCAUGUAUCCUUCAGUAUAUACCUGAAAAUAAUUGAAAUUUAAAAAUUAUCGAAAUAUGUGAGUAAAAAUAAAACAAUUAUAAAUCUGAAACAAAUGAGCACACAUAUUUGUAUGUAGGGGGAAUGAUUUAGAUUGAUUGCAGUAAGAAUUUAGAGAGAUUGUAACAAAUAAUCAAUUUUUUAAGGAAAAAUAUGGACUUACAAUCAAAUAAAGUUUUCUUAGUACUAUCUCAACGAACAGUUCAUUUGCUUAAUGAUUUAAAUCAUAAAUUUGUAUCGGUGGCAGUAUAAUGGUGUGUGAGUUUGAUUUGCGAGUGUUUGAUUGGUUACAGUUAUGUGUGUGUGUGUGUGUGUGUGCAUAUAUUAUGUGUCUGCGUGAGAAAUAGAGAAAUAUAGUCUUAGUAAAAGAGACUUUCAUACCUAGACAUGUCAGUAUUGGAUUGCAUAUCAUUUAACUCUCUUAAAUGUCUUUUUCAACCCUUUAAAUCUCCUCUUCAUCAAUAUCCUUAAUGUCCUCGUAUCAAUACGAACGUACUUUGCCCAAUGAGGAGAAUGCACAACCACCUAUAUUAUUUACAUAAACAAUAAAAGUAACUAUUUAUAUUAUAGGAAUAGUAAAGUUAUUUUGAUGCAGUGACAUAAAAGUAGAUUUACCUGAUUACGUCGACCCCAUCCACAAAGGUCUAUUGUAUAUAUUUUAUUGUUCUCGUUGACAAAUUCACUCUAAUCCUACAAAGAAUGAACCUCAUUGUAAAAUUAAAAGUUGAAAUGUUAAAAAGAUUACAUAAUUUAGUAGAAAUAAACUUGUUUAAAC